UACGGAGGGUGCUAGCGUUGUUCGGAAUUACUGGGCGUAAAGCGUGCGCAGGCGGCUUUGCAAGACAGCUGUGAAAUCCCCGGGCUUAACCUGGGAACUGCAUUUGUGACUGCAUGGCUAGAGUACGGUAGAGGGGGAUGGAAUUCCGCGUGUAGCAGUGAAAUGCGUAGAUAUGCGGAGGAACACCGAUGGCGAAGGCAAUCCCCUGGACCUGUACUGACGCUCAUGCACGAAAGCGUGGGGAGCAAACAGG
rnacentral:rRNA from 1 species